AGAUUGAACGCUGGCGGCAUGCCUUACACAUGCAAGUCGAACGGUAGAGUAGCAAUACUUGAGAGUGGCGAACGGGUGAGUAAUAUAUCGGAACGUGCCCAGUCGUGGGGGAUAACGUAGAGAAAUUUACGCUAAUACCGCAUACGAUCUAAGGAUGAAAGCGGGGGGACCGUAAGGCCUACGCGCGAUUGGAGCGGCUGAUAGUCAGAUUAGGUUGUGGUGAGGUUAAAACGCUACGACCAACGCCGACGAUCUGUAGCUGGUUUGAGAGACGACAGCCACACUGGGACUGAGCACGGCCAGACCUCGUACGGGAGCAGCAGGU
rnacentral:rRNA from 1 species